rnacentral:rRNA from 1 species
CUACGGGGGGCACCAGUGGGGAAUAUUGGACAAUGGGGGAAACCCUGAUCCAGCAAUGCCGCGUGUGUGAAGAAGGCCUGCGGGUUGUAAAGCACUUUCGGUUGGGAGGACUGCUUCUAGCACUAAUAUUGUUGGAAGUUGACGUUACCUUCAGAAGAAGCACCGGCUAACUCCGUGCCAGCAGCCGCGGUAAUACGGAGGGUGCAAGCGUUAAUCGGAAUUACUGGGCGUAAAGCGCGCGUAGGCGGCUAGCUCAGUCGGGUGUGAAAGCCCCGGGCUUAACCUGGGAACUGCAUCCGAUACUGUCUAGCUUGAGUACAGGAGAGGAGAGUGGAAUUCCACAUGUAGCGGUGAAAUGCGUAGAUAUGUGGAGGAACACCAAUGGCGAAGGCAGCUCUCUGGCCUGAUACUGACGCUGAGGUGCGAAAGCGUGGGAAGCAAACAGGAUUAGAUACCCCAGUAGUC